GCCUGGGUGGCUCAGUCGGUUGAGCGUCCGACUUUGGCUCAGGUCAUGAUCUCACAGUCUGUGGGUUCGAGCCCCGUGUCGGGCU
rnacentral:tRNA from 1 species